CACUGUUCAGGCUCCUCCUCUGCCUCCCAGUCCCUCCCUCCCUCCCUCUCUCUCUGAUAAGGAACAGGAAGUGAUGACAUCAGAGAGAGAGGCAGAGGGAGCUCCGUGGGAGAAAUCAUUCUACUUCUCCUCUCCAGCCCAGCUCCAGCAGCCUGCCCAUGUAGUGGCCAGCCAAGUGCCCACUGUGCCCUACAUGCAGACAACCUGACCAAGACAGUCCUAACUCCUGAGUCCUGACACCUGUCCUAGUCUGUCACUCACUUCUAAAAAGAUUUGGCCUCCGCUAAAACGAUGGAUCAUAAAGCCAGAGAACAAUCCUGGCUUUCGUCACUUAAUGUUAUGUUUAUUGAAGCUGGAGCAGGAGGAGUUGCUGACCCGGGAGAUGCCAGGGAGACGCAGGCCACCUUGAGUAAUUUGUUACAUAAACGAACCAAGACUUGGUGGAAUAGAGCGUUCUUGGAGAGGUACCUCAAGAAGGGUUUGAUUCCAAGAGGUUUGAGUAUUUCCCUGCUUUGAUAUAGAGGACAAAGUAUUUUUGGGAUGAUGGGAGGAGAUUUGCAAUGAGGCAGCUAACAGAUUCAUGGGGCUCCUGAUUCAUCAUUAUACAACAACUUUGGAUACAAUAGAUAUUGAGAUCGAGAAAGUACAAACUGUCCUAAGACAGAAAUGUAGCCAAGAAACACUUAUUGAGCGUUUCAUCAAACGACAUAAGAACUUUGAGAAAUGGGAAAGAGCAAUUCAGGAUGUAAAGGCAAAUAAAUGUAUCCGUGAUUAUAAUGAUUUCCAAUCUAAGACGAUAUAUAAAUGGAGACGAAAGGAUAGGAUGCAAUCAAGGAAAGAGGGUACUUCAUCUCGUAACCGUACAUCCUCCAUUUCAUCUCUGUCCUCAAUCUCUGUCCAUUCGGAAUUCACAGGAAGGAUGACAAAAUCUACUUCCUCAAAAAGAAGGCCCCCGUGCCAUAUUUAAUGGGAAGAGGAGCAACUUCCUGGAGAAGAAGGGAGAUGCACAACAUGACAAUUUGAAGCGGUGAAGGAUUUGCAUAUUUUCGACUGCUCGUUACUUCAUAAAAAGUGGCAUUAUAAAGAGGGGGACACUGAUAUUUUUACUACUAAAUAAGAACAAGAAGCUGUGCGGACGUAGGAGGAAUUAUUGGAUGAAAACGAACAAGACAGAGAUGAGAUUCCACAAUCACUGAAAUGCCCAGAGGGGUGAAGCCGGCUCCAUUCUGACAAAUGUAUUUAGGAAGCCAACUUGUGUGAACUCGCUUCUCCAAUCGUGGAUAUAGUCAACGAUCCAUCAAAGAUGCCUAUAGGAGGGCAAAAUCUUGUUCUCGUUCUGAUCUCCUCUUUUUCAAGACAAAAAACCCCCAGAGAUGAUAAAGUGAGAUUUAACACUAAUUAAUUAAUCUAACUAAUCUAGAUGGUUUGAGAUGAAAGGCCUGUUUGGAAAAAUACUGGCCAGUAUUAUUGACGGAUCCAAUUGUUGCAAGAUAUGCUACAUCGGGCCCUUCAGUAGUAGCAAGAAGAUCCAGAAAUGUGAAAGAUCCUUUGGUAAAGAGCCUUUCUACCAAACUGGUUACUUCAACUUUUCCAGGGAUGGGAAAACCUAAAUGGGGCUUUGUCCCUUGUAGGAGAUGUAUGGGAUGUACUCAUAUGUAAAGGGCUUCUGAGUUUUGUGAUGCUACUGGUGAGAAGGUUUUUCAAAUUACACAUCGGCUGACCUGCUCUAGUACAGCAGUGGUUUACUAUGCAAAAUGCCAAUGUCCCAAAAGUGUACGUGGGCCUUACCACGAGGGAGCUGAAGGUCAGGGUACGUGAGCAUGUUCCUGACAUUUUGGCUGCCCUUAAUGAAAGGGAUCUGACUAAUUUGAAACCUGUUGCCAGACCUUUCAAAAUGUAUCAAGCCUGUGAUCCCAGGGGUUUGAAGGCCCGGGGAAUAGAUUGCAUACCAAAAAAUGCUUGUGGAGAUAUCUCAAAGAAACUUGCUCAAUUGGAAUGUAAAUGGUUUUGGAAAUUGAACACAUUGCGUCCAAAUGGAUUUAAUGAGUCCUCUGGCUUUUCGUCUUUUCUAUAGGCUUCUCCCGGGUCAGCAUAUGUCAUUGUUUUUAGUCAUGAAUUGUUAUUUGUAUUUAUUUACUAUCUAAUUAAUCAGUGUUGUCAUUGCAUGUAAUUAACCACCUCUUAUACACUUUUCAGGCUCGUUUGCAAUAUGUUGCUGGACCUAAAGAUAAUUAAAUAUCACUUUUUUUUUUUCCACACAUUUUCACUCACAUCAUAUUCACUUUCGUUCAUGUUUUUGUAUGUUUAGUUCACAUUAAUUAAAUUUUUCAUUAUGAUUUGUAUUUAUUCACAUAUUUGAUCAUGUUUUUUGAUUUACACUUGUGGUAUGUAUUUUUUUUCGCACCUUAUCAUGUGAUUGAUGUCACUUAUGUAUUUUUGCUGAUAAUUGCACUUUUAUAUAAUUAUGUUGGUUCACCAUUCACAUUAAGUGCGUUAUAUUAUUUUUCUUAUUUUUGUGCGCCGUCAUGCCAGGCCUGUGCAUGCGCUAUUAUUCUCUAGGUGCCGCUGACAUGUAUCCCCAUAAUUAUCGCUGGAUCUGCCGGCUGCAUCACGUGACCAGACGAGGAUCACGUGACUGAUUUUGUCACAUAGCUGCGGUCCGCUUUACAUUUGUUUAUAUAGUCCAGGUGUGUACAAUGAUGCUGUUUGCAUUUGCAAUGAGCGCUAGGAUUAGUUGGUGGGAGUAUUGACGCCACCCCCAGACGAAGGUUCGCCGAAACGCGCGUCAGGGUUGGCGCCAUCCCGGAGGAGGCACAAAAUAGGCAAUUGAUUCUGCAUUUGUCAUCUAUAACGCUGUUUGCAUUUGCACUUUAUAUUUUCUUACUCAAUGGUGGAGCAGUAUGAAUUUAUACCAUUGUGCCUUUUCUCUGGUUGAUGUCUCUUUAUCCCUGCACUUGUUUUGUUGUAAAUUAUUUUAUGAAUUGUGUCUAAAAAAAUAUUGUUAUUUUUUCAUGUGGUUUGGUAGUUCUUUUUAUAGGUGUUUCCAUCAGUAAUAAAGCAGAGGAAUGACCCUGGAGAUGUCUGCUUCAACUUCUAAAAAAACUUUUCCUCUUAGAUCUCCAGGGUUUGGGGGUGGGGCAGUAAAGAGUGAGUAGUUGCCACUACAACUCCCAGCAUGCUUCCAAUGGCUAAGCUUGCUGAGUGUUGUGGUCACAGAGGCUGUAAACCACCAGUGGUCAUUGCCCCCUCCCCCAUCCACUCCAGCUUAGUGUGAAGGGCAUUUUCCUUUGUACUUUGUGUUCAGUGCAGGAAUCAACAUAAACUUGUAAGCAAUCUGCACAGGUGAUGGCGGUCCGCAGGAUGGGGCCCAGUGUCCCGGGGCCCCAGAACAACAGGGAUGCUGGUCUCAUUGCUGCCAUCAGUCGUUGUCCAGGACACAUGACUGUAAAGUUGCCGCUCUUCAGGCGAUGCUCCUAAUGGGGGGCACUUGUAGCGGCUGGGGGAGCUAGGACCACCCCAUUAUCAUUCCCAAUAAAUGGUAUAAUGGGUGGCCAUUGUUUCAGUGUCUCUGUCAGUCUGUUCUCUUCAUUGCUGGAAGGUUAA